ACACUCCUAGGGAGGCAGCAGUGGGGAAUAUUGGACAAUGGGCGCAAGCCUGAUCCAGCCAUGCCGCGUGAGUGAUGAAGGCCCUAGGGUUGUAAAGCUCUUUCACCGGUGAAGAUAAUGACGGUAACCGGAGAAGAAGCCCCGGCUAACUUCGUGCCAGCAGCCGCGGUAAUACGAAGGGGGCUAGCGUUGUUCGGAUUUACUGGGCGUAAAGCGCACGUAGGCGGACUAUUAAGUCAGGGGUGAAAUCCCGGGGCUCAACCCCGGAACUGCCUUUGAUACUGGUAGUCUUGAGUUCGAGAGAGGUGAGUGGAAUUCCGAGUGUAGAGGUGAAAUUCGUAGAUAUUCGGAGGAACACCAGUGGCGAAGGCGGCUCACUGGCUCGAUACUGACGCUGAGGUGCGAAAGCGUGGGGAGCAAACAGGAUUAGAAACCCCUGUAGUCCC
rnacentral:rRNA from 1 species